AUCCCGCUUUAUUUCACCUCUCCUCACUGUCCCCCAAUCGAGUGGGAUGUUUCACAAAAUCCUAUUUAUUCCACCUUAUCUGACUUUCGCGUAAUAUCCCACCUAAUCACACCCCAACUGAUCUUUCUUGACCAGACCUGAUUUUAUCUCAAUUCACCAGACGUACCUAUAACCUCACCUCAUCUCAUGUCACCCCAACUUACUUCACCUAAUUUGAUCUUACAGUAUGUAAUCUCACUUGACCUGACCUUAUACCUCAUCACUAUACCUAAACUCACCUAACCUAACUAGAGUAUUAAAUAUUAAUCUCAUAUCACCUCACCUGAUGACAUCAGACGCCCGACUUAACUACACGCGUAAAACGCUGAGCCCACUGUUUAACAGGAUUGAACAAUGUUUUGCUGCCCACGUUGUUCACACUUGUCAACAAUAUUGAACAAUAUUGUUGAGCCUGAAUCGGAUGUAACAAUAUUAAUAACUUACUGACCGAGAGUGAGUGC